UACGUAGGGAGCAAGGGUUGUUCGGAUUUACUGGGCGUAAAGGGCGCGUAGGCGGCGCGGUAAGUCACUUGUGAAAUCUCUGAGCUUAACUCAGAACGGCCAAGUGAUACUGCAGUGCUAGAGUGCAGAAGGGGCAAUCGGAAUUCUUGGUGUAGCGGUGAAAUGCGUAGAUAUCAAGAGGAACACCUGAGGUGAAGACGGGUUGCUGGGCUGACACUGACGCUGAGUGCGCGAAAGCCAGGGGAGCAAACGGG
rnacentral:rRNA from 1 species